rnacentral:rRNA from 1 species
CAUGCAGGUGGUGUGUUAAGUCAGAUGUGAAAGCCCGGGGCUCAACCUCGGAAUAGCAUUUGAAACUGGCACACUAGAGUACUGUAGAGGGGGGUAGAAUUUCAGGUGUAGCGGUGAAAUGCGUAGAGAUCUGAAGGAAUACCAGUGGCGAAGGCGGCCCCCUGGACAGAUACUGACACUCAGAUGCGAAAGCGUGGGGAGCAAACA